rnacentral:rRNA from 1 species
UACGGGGGGGGCAAGCGUUGUUCGGAAUUACUGGGCGUAAAGGGCUCGUAGGCGGCCAACUAAGUCAGACGUGAAAUCCCUCGGCUUAACCGGGGAACUGCAUCUGAUACUGGAUGGCUUGAGUUCGGGAGAGGGAUGCGGAAUUCCAGGUGUAGCGGUGAAAUGCGUAGAUACCUGGAGGAACACCGGUGGCGAAGGCGGCUUCUUGGGCCGUUCCUGACGCUGAGGCGCGAAAGCCAGGGGAGCGAACGGG